rnacentral:sRNA from 12 species
CCCUGACAGCUUUAUAAUAAAGCUGACUAUAGCCAAGACAGGAGAUCUAAAUG